rnacentral:rRNA from 1 species
GCUCAACCGUGGAGGGUCAUUGGAAACUGGGAAACUUGAGUGCAGAAGAGGAGAGUGGAAUUCCAUGUGUAGCGGUGAAAUGCGCAGAGAUAUGGAGGAACACCAGUGGCGAAGGCGGCUCUCUGGUCUGUAACUGACGCUGAUGUGCGAAAGCGUGGGGAUCAAACAGGAUUAGAUACCCUGGUAGUCCACGCCGUAAACGAUGAGUGCUAAGUGUUAGGGGGUUUCCGCCCCUUAGUGCUGCAGCUAACGCAUUAAGCACUCCGCCUGGGGAGUACGACCGCAAGGUUGAAACUCAAAGGAAUUGACGGGGACCCGCACAAGCGGUGGAGCAUGUGGUUUAGUUCGAAGCAACGCGAAGAACCUUACCAAAUCUUGACAUCCUUUGACCGCUCUAGAGAUAGAGUCUUCCCCUUCGGGGGACAAAGUGACAGGUGGUGCAUGGUUGUCGUCAGCUCGUGUCGUGAGAUGUUGGGUUAAGUCCCGCAACGAGCGCAACCCUUAAGCUUAGUUGCCAUCAUUAAGUUGGGCACUCUAGGUUGACUGCCGGUGACAAACCGGAGGAAGGUGGGGAUGACGUCAAAUCAUCAUGCCCCUUAUGAUUUGGGCUACACACGUGCUACAAUGGAUAAUACAAAG